AUGAACGCUGGCGGCGUGCCUAAUACAUGCAAGUCGCGCGAACGGACGAGAAGCUUGCUUCUCUGAUGUUAGCGGCGGACGGGUGAGUAACACGUGGAUAACCUACCUAUAAGACUGGGAUAACUUCGGGAAACCGGAGCUAAUACCGGAUAAUAUUUUGAACCGCAUGGUUCAAAAGUGAAAGACGGUCUUGCUGUCACUUAUAGAUGGAUCCGCGCUGCAUUAGCUAGUUGGUAAGGUAACGGCUUACCAAGGCAACGAUGCAUAGCCGACCUGAGAGGGUGAUCGGCCACACUGGAACUGAGACACGGUCCAGACUCCUACGGGAGGCAGCAGUAGGGAAUCUUCCGCAAUGGGCGAAAGCCUGACGGAGCAACGCCGCGUGAGUGAUGAAGGUCUUCGGAUCGUAAAACUCUGUUAUUAGGGAAGAACAUAUGUGUAAGUAACUGUGCACAUCUUGACGGUACCUAAGCAGAAAGCCACGGCUAACUACGU
rnacentral:rRNA from 1 species